ACGAAAAUAAGGCAUAACUAGUGACUGUUGUGUUCUAAACUCACAGCACAUUAAAUAAACAAGUUUACACUGCAUUUAUUCACUGUGAACGGAGCCGUUCUGAGGCACGGAAAAACCGGAUCAUGAUCAUGAUCAUCCUUCAGUCACUUUGGUGCUUUCAGAGAAUGUCUAUGGUGUCCAGAGCCGGUGAAAAAUUAAAUAUUUAACGGCUCUGGUGCUUUCGUGCUCUGCACUUUCUUUUCUCUCGAGGCAUCGACAACACAGCUGACACAGGGGAUUGUGGUAUGCCAGUGGAGGGCAUGGUGUGAACGGAGAGGGCAGGGGAACAUGAAUAGGUCUGCUCUGCUGGGACUGGCACUCUCCGGCUCUGCGGUGGGAUAAAAGCGACGAUGUGGAUUAGAGGAGAGUUCUUCAGCUUGCGGGAUAAGCUGAUCUUCCACACUUCAGAUAUCCAUGACCAGCAUUGCGAAAAACCAUUUGAAAUUCGAGAGAUGAAUGAACGUUCCAGGUUGGCCUAUAAACUGACGUCACGACUGAACAGAUCUGCGAAGCUGGUGCGCAUUUGUAAUCUUUUUUACACCAUU